rnacentral:misc_RNA from 1 species
UGCUAGAAGCGCUCCGAGGUCCAAGGUUGCGGAGAAAUCCCCUACCUGUCGCGCCUGCAGCAUCGUUCACGAUCUCGUGCCGCGAGAAACGAAACCCUGAAAANNNNNNNNNNNGCCUGACAUCAAGAGGAGGCACGCAUGGCAAUGCAAGUCCCGAGGGAUUUCCGCCGCGUGAUCGUCGCCGCGUCGGUGGGAAAUGUUAUCGAGUGGUAUGACUUCUACAUCUUUGGCAGUUUGGCUGCG